CAAGGUUUCCGUAGGUGAACCUGCGGAAGGAUCAUUAUCGAAUUUCGAGGGGGGAAGGCGGAAUCAUGGAGACUGUCGCUGGCCCUCCCCUGGGCAUGUGCACGUCUUUCUUUUUUUGCCGACCUUUUCUCUCACUCUCUCACACACCUGUGCACCUGUUGUAGAUCCUUGAAAGAGGAUCUAUGUUUUUUCACAUCACACCUGUCGCAUGUCUAUAGAAUGUAUGGUCAAUGAUUUGUAUUAAAUCAUACAACUUUCAGCAACGGAUCUCUUGGCUCUCGCAUCGAUGAAGAACGCAGCGAAUUGCGAUAAGUAAUGUGAAUUGCAGAUUUUCAGUGAAUCAUCGAAUCUUUGAACGCACCUUGCGCUCCUUGGUAUUCCGAGGAGCAUGCCUGUUUGAGUGUCAUCGAAUUUAUCAAUCCAAGUUCUUGACUUGAACUUGGAUUUGGACUUGGGAGCUGCUGGCGGUGAAAAGCUGUCGGCUCUCCUGAAACGCAUUAGCAAAGGAUGGUGCAGGUCUUUGACGUGCACGGCCUUCGACGUGAUAAUGAUCGUCGUGGCUGGAGCGUUCGGACAAUAUUGCAUUUGAAUCUGUCCAUGUUGCUUCUAAUUCUCUAGGCUAGCCUCGAGUUAAGUCGGCAUCAGCUACUAGUUGGUUCCAUGUGGACGACGAACGUUGAAAACCAGGCUGAACUUUUUUGGGGGCUUGUCCUCUCUCUUUCGAAACUGA
rnacentral:rRNA from 1 species